GGGGUGAUUUUCUUGCUUCAUCUUUCAAGAAUACACACAUACAACAUCCUUCAAUCAAGAAUUAUAGAAAAACAUGGCCACUUACCCAAAUUCUUACCAAAAUUCACACUUUCUCACUCUAACUUUGGAGCUCUUCUUCAAGGAUUCUCUUGAUUAAAAGUGGCUAGAAUGUGUUUAUGGAAGAUAUUAGAGUGGUUUGAGGUGUUUGGUAAUAUUUUUGGAAGCUUCGAAGGUUUUCAUCAAUGGAGGAAAAUGGUGGAAAUGAGAGAUGAAGGAGAUGAGUGUGUGUUGGGCGAAAAUGUGUGUGAGGGAGAGAGGUGAGUUGGCCGAAAUUUCAAGUGAGGGAGAGAGAGAUUUGGCUUUGCAAGAUUUGAAUUGAUAUUGUGUAUCUUUAAAGAGAUUUGGAAAUCUUAGGGAAUAUUUGGCAAUUAAUGGAUGAUCUCUCUCACUCUAAUCUCUCUCUCACUCUAAUCUCUACACUUCUCUCUCUAAUCUCUACACUCUCA
rnacentral:lncRNA from 1 species